rnacentral:piRNA from 1 species
UGGGAACUGCUUCUAGUCUUAGUUGAACUA